rnacentral:snRNA from 1 species
GUCAUGUCUUCGGACCUCUGACACUUAUUAAAAUUGGAACGAUACAGAGAAGAUUAGCAUGGCCCCUGCACAAGGAUGACAC